UACGAAGGGGGCUAGCGUUGUUCGGAUUUACUGGGCGUAAAGCGCACGUAGGCGGUUUGUUAAGUCAGGGGUGAAAUCCUGGAGCUCAACUCCAGAACUGCCUUCGAUACUGGCGAUCUUGAGUCCGGAAGAGGUGAGUGGAACUCCUAGUGUAGAGGUGGAAUUCGUAGAUAUUAGGAAGAACACCAGUGGCGAAGGCGGCUCACUGGUCCGGUACUGACGCUGAGGUGCGAAAAGCGUGGGGGAGCAAACAGG
rnacentral:rRNA from 1 species